UGUUCUUUUUGGUCAGCAGUGGUUUUGUCCUUGGACCACUGCCAUGGAUGCAAUGUUUGCCCAGUCUCUUCCUUAUUGUUUUGUCAUGAACUCUGACCUUAACUGAGGCAAUGGAGGCCUGCAAGCUCUUUAGAUGUUGUCCUGUGUUCCUUUGUGGCCUCCUGGAUGAGUCAUUGCUGUUCUCUUGGCGUAAUCUUUGUUGGCCGGCCGCUCGUGCGAAGGUUCACCACUUUUGCAUGUUUACUCCAUGUGAUGACAAUGGGUCUCCCUAUGGUUCGAUGGAAUCCUAAAGCUUUUGAAUUGGCUUUUGUAAACCUUUCCAGACUGAUAGAUGCCAAUUACUUUAUUUCUCGACUGUACUGGAAUUUCUUUGGAUCGUGUCAUUUUAUUGCAGGUUUUUUGUAGAUCUUUUUUUGUCCGACUUGAUUUUGUUGGGGGCGAAACAGUGGACGACUGACUGAUUAGCACAUCUGCCGCACAGUUCUGAGGACCGGGGUUCAAAUCCCGGCCUCGCCUGUGUGGAGUUUGCAUGUUCUCCCUGUGCCUGCAUGGGUUUUCUCUGGGCACUCCGGCUUCCUCCCACAUCCCAAAAACAUGCAUGGUAGGUUGAUUGAAGACUCUAAAUUGCCCGUAGGUGUGAAUGUGAGUGCAAAUGGUUGUUUGUUUAUAUGUGCCCUGCAAUUGGGUGGCGACCAGUUGAGGGUGUACCCUGCUUCUUGCCCGAAGAUAGAUGGGAUAGACUACCCUAGUGAGGAGAAGCGGUACAGAAAAUUGAUGGCUGGAUGGAUUUUGUUGGGACAGAUUCUGUUUAAGUGAUUUCUUGAUUGAACAGGUCUGGGUGUGAUCAGUGGAAAAUUCACCAAAAAUUGCGAUUAGCCACAAUUAAUUCAUGAUUUAAUAAGGGGAGUAAUUAUUUUUCACACAGGGCUAAUUAUAAUUUUUUUUCCAUAACUCAUUUAGAACCAAAUACGUAUUAAUAAGUUUUCAUAAACUCAUCCAUUUAAUGCCAAAGACGUAUUAAUACGCUUCAGUGAUUUUAUUUAUUUAUUUUUUUGAAAUGUAUUUUUAUUUUAUUUUUUAAAUAAAAUUGUAAAAGACGGUUUGGCGCAGCUCCACAAUACGUAUCUAAGGCUUGGGAAGGAUUUUGGUAUGAUAAAUUGACACCAGAAGGCAGCAGUAGUUUUAAUCAGAGCUUUGUCAGCACGUCAAAGGAAACCUUAUCCGGUGAGGACCCAUGUGACGUGGUGGAGCGUUGUAGGGGCGUGGUUGCAAGACAGAGACACAGUGAGCCACAGUUAGAGCGGAAAAACCAUGGAUACAUACAGACAGUUUCCUCUAAAACAGAGUUUUACUUAUGCCAAAAAGAAUGACGAUGUCAUCCUUUUCCCAAAAAAGGGGAAAGAAAGGGAUGACGCUACGACAACGAACACAGUGUAACGCUGGUCGCGUCGAGCAUUCGAAGGCCAAAGAUCGCGAUCGGUCCACUGCCGAUGGAGAUUCGGACUCGGAUUACAAUGGGCCUUAUCAGGGUUAUCAUCUGGUAGCAGCAGGGCGUCCACGUGAGCCCCCAGAAAGUCACAGAAGAGUUGGUGCAACCAGCAACAGAUGCACUCCUACACCUGUUGGCAAGAAAGGUGAAAAAAAGGUGCAUCAAGCAGUGGUGGAGCUGUUCAUGGCUGGUCUUCUGCUGACUGGGAACCCACAACAGUCCCAUUCACGGCAACUCCCGGGGGCCUGGACUCUGACCAGCCAGCAGACUUCCUGGAGCUGUUCCUGACAAGGGAGCUUCUUCAACACAUUCUGAACGAAAAACAAACGACUUUGCUCAGGAUUAUUUUAAGCACAAACCAACAGUCUGCCACACAGCAGAAGAAAUGCAUGGAAACUGAUCACAGUGCAAGAGCUCAAAAUAUUUUGGGGAAACUAUUUCAUUACAGGAUUUGUGAGGAAAAAAAAAAAACUCUUGCAAUGUUGAGGAACGGAAAAACACGCACACAAUCACACACAGCUGUACAUCAUCAUCAAACUGGUAUUUUGCAAUCAAAAUACCCUUUUUCUGUGUUGUUUAUGUUGUUAUAUACUCAGAAAAUGUUUAGAUAUUUGAGCUAUCAUAAAAGCAAAAAAUAAAAAAAAAGCAUCAAAGUGAAAGUUCUGCUUGAAAUGCAUUUCACAAAAGGCUCAGUUUAUUUUCUUGGAAACAGUUAUUUUCAAGAAACUUACCUAUGUUCAACUGCUUUUUACUAAAGAAUGGUAAAAGUUAGAAAUGUACUUUUUUUGACUGAUGACAGAAGAGGGUGACAUCUUUCUUUUGGUGGGUUCCAUGUUUCUAUAUCUAUAGAACACGAUUUUCUGUAGGCCUUCAAAAAUCAGUCAAAAAUGACUGGCUCCUGGCUCUUCCAAUUUCUGAAAAACGGCUGGCAUUAAAUGAGUUUAAAAAAUGAGAUCAUUUAAAAACAGCAUUUUAUGUUCACUUUGGUUAUAUUUGUCUGAUAUUUACAUUUGUUUGGUGAUCUUAAAGUAGGAAAACUAUGCAAAAAUGUAAGAAUUUGAGAAGGGGGCCAAUACUUUUUCACGGCCCUGUACCUCCUUGAAUUAAAGAGUUUGUCCUGGCACUCUGUUAUUUUUGUAGUACAAGGGCAUGGGGGUGAG